rnacentral:sRNA from 1 species
AUAUCUCUCUGUACGGGAAGGAUGAGAAGCUUCGACUAAGGUUCGACUCGAGCGAAAGCGAGAAAGCGUUGCCGCAGGCAACGACCCGAAGGGCGAAGCGCGCAGCGCUGAGUCAUCCUUCCCCCACCACCA